rnacentral:rRNA from 1 species
UACGUAGGUGGCAAGCGUUAUCCGGAAUACUGGGCGUAAAGCGCACGCAGGCGGUCUGUUAAGUUUGACGUGAAAGCUCCCGGCUUAACUGGGAGAGGUCGUUGAAGACUGGCAGACUUGAGGCGAUGAGAGGGGUGUAGAAUUCCCGGUGUAGUGGUGGAAUGCGUAGAUAUCGGGGGGGAAUACCAGUGGCGAAAGCGGCACCCUAGCGUUAGCCUGACGCUCAUGUGCGAAAGCGUGGGGAGCGAACGGG